rnacentral:lncRNA from 1 species
GGGGAAAAAAAUUUAAAUUAUAGUUUGCAGUAUUGUUUCAUAUCUUGAUCAUAUGUUCCUAUUGUAGACUCAAGCAAGAGUCAUCGAUGAUUUCUUUCAUGAAAGCAUGUAAACUUUAAGAACUAUAUAUCGAUUAUGUAGAUAAUUUGACGAUGCAGCAUCAUCAUUUUAUUGGGCAAAGCCAAGCCUAAGGACAAAGGUUACAUAGUGAUACACACAUGACGCUGCUUCUAUAACAUUUAUAU